UUCAAUCCCCGCACCCUCCCGAUCCCAUCUCAACCUCCAGCCCGCCUCCUUCUCCUACCCUGCUCCGCCCCGCCCGGCUGCCACCGCGCCGCCGGCCAUUGCCCCGCGCCGCCGCCUCCUACCCCGCUGGUGCGCCUACCCCUGCAGCCAUGGCGCAUCACCCUCCAGCUAGACCCCUCCUCGGGCAAGAUCUCCUCCCAGAGGAAGACGACGAGCACGACCCAGCCCCACCCGCGCACGUCACCGCCCCAUCCGUCGUGGCACCACCCUCCCCCUUCUCUCGAUUGACAGGAUUCGCCGCAUCUCGCGUGACGUGCCACGGCUGUGCUUCACCUGUCGCCGGCCUCCUUCCGGUUCCCUUGGUCGCAGACGAUGGUCAGGCACCGAUGAGGAGUUGUUCGCCAAUCGAAGGAAUGGAUGAAGGAUGUGGUAUCCAGCCGGCGAGUCCCAGCCACAUUACCUUGCCGAACGCUGUGGUGCUCAGCAAUAAUUUUUGGAUUGAUGGAUUGUCGUUGGCUGUUGCAGGUAAGAUGUUUGACAAAUUGUUUCUUUCAGAUUUAGAGUGUCAUUGUACAAUGGCUUGCUAUGGGCCUAAGUAACGUAGGUUUACUGAUCAAUUUUGUAGCUAAUCAUCAGUAUCAAGAAGUAUUCACUAGCACUUCCUGUGUCGAUUGCUAUGGCUAACUUCUGUAAGGUCAUUUUUAGCCAAAAUUUGUUGUACAUGUAGACACAAGGUUCAUUAAUGGUAAUAGAUGAUUAGAGAGCAGCAAAGAAAUACUAUGUGCCUAAAUUGAUAUAUUUAAUUCCAUGUAAGUAUUAUUAUGCAGUGGUGUAUUGUUCGUUCUCUGAAUUAUAUGUACCAAACUGUAUGUUCAACACUACUUCAGCUUCACGUAUGUGGCAAUGUAGCUUGUGAGCCUAGCUAUAUUAUGCGCAAAUAUAAAAAUCUGCAGUUCUUUAUCAGCAUAAUAAUCAUGACCUUCAAGGGAUGCCCAUUGUAAUUUUGGUAUAUACUUGAGAUAUUUGUUUUGGUGUCUGCUUGGGAAUAAGGGUAAAAGGUCCAGAGAUGAAAGCCUCACUUCAAAUUCUGUGAUGGGUCUCUCUAACAUAGCAAUUAUGCAAUAAAUUCCUCUCGAAUUUACUAUAUAUUACCAGCUUCCUUCCAUUUAAUUUAUAAAUUUAAUCCCAUCAAUGUCUAUGUCACAUGCUUCAUCAAUGUCUAUGUCAUCAACUACGCUAUGACAGGGUAGUAGUUGCAAGUGUGCGAAGAAGGAUAACGCAUGCUAGAGCCUGCAGGUAGUAAUAGUUGAUUAUACUUGAUCGGUUUGAUCCUUUCUACACGGCAACACCAAAUUCAGUGUAUUCUUAUUGACGUAGGUACUCAAAUUCAGUAAGAGUUGGUACUGGACGUCAUGUAUACUAAUUGAUAAGGCUUUGGUUUGUUAUGAUCACCAUCCUACCGGUUAGUUUUAUCUCUGAAAAAGUUGUGCCCCUACUUUCUAAUGGAUAUGCAGCUGUAUAUUCCUAAGAAAAGUAUAUGAGCUAGGAAUUCGACUACGCUCAAGGACCAUCAGGGAGCUGGAUUUUUACAAUGUUUUAGAACUGAGGCAUAGCUAAAGCCCGCGGGUUUUGAAACAUUAAAGUGUAUUUACUUCAUGUAGUUCUGUGUAUUCCAAGACCCCAAAGAAAGAAAAAGAAGAAAAGAUCAGGAAAAACAUUCCUCCAAGAACAUGUAGAGCACGGCAUGGAAAAUAUAAUAUAUAGUUGCUGUGCAUAUUAAUUUGUAGAGUACACCAUCAGUUUAAAGGUAAUCUCGGACUCUGUGCUCCUUCGCUAUUUAAAUUAAACAUACCAUACUUCCAUUAUGUGAUAAGCUAUUGAUAAAUUUUCUAAGAACAAAAGCUUUCUUUUUACAGUCCCAGUUGCAACAUGACAUCAAUUUUUCCUUAGAGGGUCUAAAUUAAUUAGAUGAUUCCUAGCGCUUAUAGCAUUAUCUAUCCGAGGGAGCUUUUGUUGUUCGGAUUAUACCAAAGAGUCCAGGUACCACAAAAUUCAGAGUAGUUCAGCGAGAGAUAAAUAGGUUUAUCAUGUCUACCUUUUUUUGUAUAAAGUUCAGUUGGCAAUAUUUGAAGAAUACAAGGAGCUGUCAGGUGAGUACGGAUCAAAUGAAGAAUGGGCUGCUCAGGUGUUCAAAUAGUUCUAUUUUUUCUACAUUCAGCCAACUGGAGUAUCCUGCUCUCCCUUCUAUAGGUUCUACAUUUCAAUCCUUAUUUUGUUGAAUCAUCAGGUACUUGCAUUCUAUUGUUCAAGAUGUGUAAUUUUUCUGUAAGUUUUCUGAGAGUUAACAAAAUCAUUGACUUAUGAAAGAACUCUUAGUGACGAAAGUGUACAUGCAAUGAG